CAUGCUUAAUCUUAGUCAGAGGGCAUAUGCCAUUGCGUAGCUCUCUCUCUUUUUUUUUCCGAGAUGAUUGGUGUAAAGUACAAACAUGUGCAUGCCCUUGCACAGUAGGCUAUGAGAAGCUCUCAAAAAGUAGUAGGCCUAGGGCACAGAUAAAAGGCUUGGCCAGGAGCUCGGUGCUGGCUUGGACCAGGACCAAAAGAACUUGUGGAGAAAUGGGCUGUGACCAUCUCCUCGGUCUGCCCAGGGAAACGCAGCGUGGAG
rnacentral:lncRNA from 1 species